rnacentral:SRP_RNA from 1 species
GGAGGGAGCAGGGGUAGGGGGGUGUCUCGUGUGCGUG